GGAUAUCUUGGCUCUUGCAACGAUGAAGAACGCAGCGAAAUGCGAUACUUAAUGUGAAUUGCAGAAUUCCGUGAAUCAUCGAAUCUUUGAACGCAAGUUGCGCCCGAGGCUUGUCCCGAGGGCAUGCCUGCCUGAGCGUCAAC
rnacentral:rRNA from 1 species